UGACUGUCUCUAGAAGAAAGAAAGGAGCCUGCAUCGAGAAGUCAUUAAGCUAGAGAAGGAGAAAUAAAAAUAAAAGACAGCUUUGCUUCAGGCUCACUCCUCACAUGCCCAUGCUCACUGUGAUAAUGUAAGCCUCGACCAGCUGAUUUUUCAUCAUGUGAAGUGUGGGCAGCUCAUGGCCAAAUUGUCUCAUCCCGUGAUUCUGUGCAAGGCCAAGGAGGAAUGGUACCUGAUGCCUGCCUGACUGCUAGUGCCUGAUCACAAGGAAAUGCAGUAUUUUGAUGGAAGAGCAUACACUGUUCAUUUGAGAAACAAUUGCCAGGGAAACUAAGCACCUCUGAUGCGGUCGUAGUUGUGCCAUGGCAGUAGUCUUCCCUGUCACUCCUGUGCUGGCACACCACCUCAGAUCCUACUUUGGAGCCAUCCUAAGCCCCCAUUUCCUCAGUGAACAGCAGCUGGCCAUUCCCAGUCCCAGGCAACCUCUUGUAGAUGGGCUCGCGGUCUGCCAGGCCUCCAUUC